GAAAAGGAGAGAGAUAGGAGGGGUAAGGAAGGGAAGAGUGAUAAAUUGGUUGAUGGCGAAGACCUGCGAGCAGUGAAGCAAGUAUCUGAAAAAACUGAGUUGAAGGCACGCGAUCUAUUGCAAAGUACUGAAUUGGAAAGCCUUCCUGAUAAACGAAUUAGGAGAAAACAAGAUGGUUCUGGUGAUGGGGAUAAGCAUCAGGAUGAUAUUGAAGACAUCAAUGAUAGACGAUUUUCCUUGAGGGAGGAUGGUAGGCCAAAGGAUGAGAAGCAUAAGGACGAGAGAUAUAGAGACAAGUACCGUGAAGACAAGUAUAGAGACGAGCGUGCUCUAAAAGAUCACACUAACAGCAGGUCUGAUGAUAAAAACUUGAGGGAUG
rnacentral:misc_RNA from 1 species